UGGGGAAUAUUGGACAAUGGGCGCAAGCCUGAUCCAGCCAUGCCGCGUGGAUGAAGAAGGCCCUAGGGUUGUAAAGUCCUUUCGGUGGUGAAGAUAAUGACGGUAACCACACAAGAAGCCCCGGCUAAUUUCGUGCCAGCAGCCGCGGUAAUACGAAAGGGGCUAGCGUUGUUCGGAAUUACUGGGCGUAAAGCGCGCGUAGGCGGCCGUGUAAGUUGGGGGUGAAAUCCCGGAGCUCAACUCCGGAACUGCCUCCAAAACUACACAGCUAGAGGAUGCGAGAGGAUAGUGGAAUUCCGAGUGUAGAGGUGAAAUUCGUAGAUAUUCGGAAGAACACCAGUGGCGAAGGCGACUGUCUGGCGCAUUUCUGACGCUGAGGCGCGAAAGCGUGGGGAGCAAACAGGAUUAGAUACCCCCGUAGUCC
rnacentral:rRNA from 1 species